AUUGAACGCUGGCGGCAGGCCUAACACAUGCAAGUCGAACGGUAACAGGAAGAAGCUUGCUUCUUUGCUGACGAGUGGCGGACGGGUGAGUAAUGUCUGGGAAACUGCCUGAUGGAGGGGGAUAACUACUGGAAACGGUAGCUAAUACCGCAUAACGUCGCAAGACCAAAGAGGGGGACCUUCGGGCCUCUUGCCAUCGGAUGUGCCCAGAUGGGAUUAGCUAGUAGGUGGGGUAACGGCUCACCUAGGCGACGAUCCCUAGCUGGUCUGAGAGGAUGACCAGCCACACUAGAACUGAGACACGGUCCAGACUCCUACGAGAGGCAGCAGUGGGGAAUAUUGCACAGUGGGCGCAAGCCUGAUGCAGCCAUGGCGCGUGUAUGAAGAAGGCCUUCGGGUUGUAAAGUACUUUCAGCGGGGAGGAAGGGAGUAAAGUUAAUACCUUGGCUCAUUGACGUUACCCGCAGAAGAAGCACCGGCUAACUCCGUG
rnacentral:rRNA from 1 species